rnacentral:rRNA from 1 species
UACGAAGGGGGCUAGCGUUGCUCGGAAUCACUGGGCGUAAAGGGUGCGUAGGCGGGUCUUUAAGUCAGGGGUGAAAUCCUGGAGCUCAACUCCAGAACUGCCUUUGAUACUGAGGAUCUUGAGUUCGGGAGAGGUGAGUGGAACUGCGAGUGUAGAGGUGAAAUUCGUAGAUAUUCGCAAGAACACCAGUGGCGAAGGCGGCUCACUGGCCCGAUACUGACGCUGAUGCACGAAAGCGUGGGGAUCAAACAGG